UACGUAGGUGGCAAGCGUUAUCCGGAAUUAUUGGGCGUAAAGCGCGUGUAGGCGGCUUUGCAAGUCGGGUGUGAAAGCCCUCAGCUCAACUGAGGAAGUGCGCCCGAAACUGCAGAGCUUGAGUGCCGGAGAGGGUGGCGGAAUUCCCCAAGUAGAGGUGAAAUUCGUAGAUAUGGGGAGGAACACCGGUGGCGAAGGCGGCCACCUGGACGGUAACUGACGCUGAGACGCGAAAGCGUGGGGAGCAAACAGG
rnacentral:rRNA from 1 species